UACGUAGGAUCCAAGCGUUAUCCGGAUUUACUGGGUGUAAAGGGCGAGUAGACGGCGUGUCAAGUCAGAGGUGAAAUCUUACCGCUCAACCUUAAAACUGCCUCUGAAACUGUUAUGCUAGAGUGCAGAAGAGGUAAGUGGAAUUCCUAUGGUAGCGGUGAAAUGCGUAGAUAUUAAGAGGAACACCAGUGUCGAAGGCGACUUACUGGGCUGUAACUGACGUUGAGGUGCGAAAGUGUGGGGAGCAAACAGGAUUAGAUACCCUGGUAGUCCACACCGGAAACGAUGGAUACUAGGUGGACGGACAAACGUAUCUGUGCCGUGCACUAACGCAAUAAGUAUCCCACCUGGGGAGUACGACCGCAAGGGUGAAACUCAAAGGAAUUGACGGGGGCCCGCACAAGCAGUGGAAUAUGUGGUGUAUAUUCGACGCAGGCGCGAAGAACCUUACCAAGACUUGACAUCUUCAUGAAAGUAUAUGAAAUUAGAUCCUCCUUCGGGACAUGUAUACAGGUGAUGCUCGUUAGUUGUCAGCUCGUGUCGUGAGAUGUUGGGUUAAGUCGCGCACCGAGCGCAACCCUCGUGAUUAGUUGCUCCCAAGCAGAACUCUAAUCAGACUGCCGUAGUUAAUUCGGAGGAAGGUGAGGAUGACGUCAAAUCAUCAUGUCCCUUAUGUCCUGGGCUACACACGUGUUACAAUGACUGGUACAAAGAGGAGCAAUCCCGCGAGGUGGAGCAAAUCUGAAAAAAGUAGUCCUAGUUCGGAUUGGAGGCUGAAACUCGCUUCCAGGAAGCUGGAAUUGUUAGUAAUCACAGUUCAGCAUGCUGUGGUGAAUACGUUCCCGGGCCU
rnacentral:rRNA from 1 species